rnacentral:rRNA from 1 species
UGGGGAAUUUUGGACAAUGGGCGCAAGCCUGAUCCAGCCAUGCCGCGUGAGUGAAGAAGGCCUUCGGGUUGUAAAGCUCUUUCGGCCGGAACGAAAUCGUCCGGGUUAAUACCCCGGAUGGAUGACGGUACCGGAAGAAGAAGCACCGGCUAACUACGUGCCAGCAGCCGCGGUAAUACGUAGGGUGCAGGCGUUAAUCGGAAUUACUGGGCGUAAAGCGUGCGCAGGCGGCUUCCUAAGUCAGAUGUGAAAUCCCCGGGCUCAACCUGGGAACUGCGUUUGAAACUGGGAGGCUAGAGUGCGGCAGAGGGGGUGGAAUUCCACGUGUAGCAGUGAAAUGCGUAGAUAUGUGGAGGAACACCGAUGGCGAAGGCAGCCCCCUGGGCCAGCACUGACGCUCAUGCACGAAAGCGUGGGGAGCAGACAGGAUUAGAUACCCUGGUAGUCCACGCCCUAAACGAUGUCGACUAGCUGUUGGGGGAGUCUGUCCCUCAGUAACGUAGCUAACGCGUGAAGUCGACCGCCUGGGGAGUACGGUCGCAAGAUUAA